ensembl:snoRNA SNORD83 Small nucleolar RNA SNORD83
GCCAAAUGAUGCUUGUUUGCUACAGGAGCACUCAGUGCAAGGACGACUCUAUCUAUCACCCAUGACUGAUGGCU